rnacentral:rRNA from 1 species
AGUGAACGCUGGCGGUAGGCCUAACACAUGCAAGUCGAACGGCAGCACAGUAAGAGCUUGCUCUUACGGGUGGCGAGUGGCGGACGGGUGAGGAAUACAUCGGAAUCUACUUUUUCGUGGGGGAUAACGUAGGGAAACUUACGCUAAUACCGCAUACGACCUACGGGUGAAAGCAGGGGAUCUUCGGACCUUGCGCGAUUGAAUGAGCCGAUGUCGGAUUAGCUAGUUGGCGGGGUAAAGGCCCACCAAGGCGACGAUCCGUAGCUGGUCUGAGGGGAUGAUAAGCCACACUGGAACUGAGACACGGUCCAGACUCCUACGGGAGGCAGCAGUGGGGAAUAUUGGACAAUGGGCGCAAGCCUGAUCCAGCCAUACCGCGUGGGUGAAGAAGGCCUUCGGGUUGUAAAGCCCUUUUGUUGGGAAAGAAAAGCAGCAGGUUAAUACCCCGCUGUUCUGACGGUACCCAAAGAAUAAGCACCGGCUAACUUCGUG